UACGACCAUAUCACGUUGAAACACUGGUCUCUGUACGAUCACCGAAGUUAAGCAACGUUGAGUCCGGUCACUACCUAGAUGUCUGACAGCCUAGGAAUAACAGGUGCUGUAAG